UGGUGUAGCUCAAUCGGCAGAGCAGCUGAUUUGUAAUCAGCAGGUUGCGGGUUCAAGUCCCAUCACC
rnacentral:tRNA from 1 species